rnacentral:rRNA from 1 species
AAUGAACGUUGGCGGCGUGGAUUAGGCAUGCAAGUCGCGCGAGAAGUCAUUUAGCUUGCUAAAAGGCGGACAGCGGCGGAAGGGAGAGUAACGCGUGGUUAUGUACCCUCGAGACCGGGAUAGUGUCGGGAAACUGGCAGUAAUACCGGAUAACAUCUUCGGAUCAAAUGGUGUGAUUCCGCUCGAGGAUCGGACCGAGUACUAUUAGCUAGUUGGCGGGGUAAUAGCCCACCAAGGCUUAGAUGGUUACCGGGUGUGAGAGCAUGGCCCGGCUCACUGGGACUGAGACACUGCCCAGACUUCUACGGAUGGCUGCAGUCGAGAAUCUUCGGCAAUGGACGAAAGUCUGACCGAGCGACGCCGCGUGCGGGAUGAAGGCCCUCGGGUUGUAAACCGCUGUCAGUUAGGAGGAAAUCCAUGAGGGUACUCUCUCAUGGUUGACCGAUUUUCAGAGGAAGGACGGGCUAAGUUCGUGCCAGCCGCCGCAGUAACAC